GCGGGCGUGGUGGAACUGGUAGACGCGCCGGACUCAAAAUCCGGUUCUGGCAACAGAGUGUCGGUUCGAUUCCGACCGCCCGCACCA
rnacentral:tRNA from 1 species